rnacentral:rRNA from 1 species
UCGGAGGAAGGUGAGGACGACGUCAAAUCAUCAUGCCCCUUAUGUCUUGGGCUUCACGCAUGCUACAGGCCGGUACAAUGGGUUGCGAUACUGUGAGGUGGAGCUAAUCCCAAAAAAGCCGGUCUCAGUUCGGAUUGGGGUCUGCAACUCGACCCCAUGAAGUCGGAGUCGCUAGUAAUCGCAGAUCAGCAACGCUGCGGUGAAUACGUUCCCGGGCCUUGUACACACCGCCCGUCAAGUCACGAAAGUCGGUAACACCCGAAGCCGGUGGCCUAACCCUUGUGGGGGGAGCCGUCGAAGGUGGGACCAGCGAUUGGGACUAAGUCGUAACAAGGUAGCCGUACCGGAAGGUGCGGCUGGAUCACCUCCUUUCUAAGGAGCAU